GUAGGCGCAAAUCGCCACGUAAACUGUUAUUAUAUUAUUGUAGGCGCAAUCGCCACGUAAACUGUUAUUAUAUUAUUGUCAAGGCGCGAAUCACCAAAAUUAUUAUUGUUAUUAUAUUUUUUUAUCUUGUGUGUGUGUGAAACUUUAUUUUUAUUAUAUAGCUAGGACCAGCUGGCCAGACUGCGCUCCACAACUUUUUAAUGACAUACAGCAUUAUUCAAACCGGCUAUUAACCAUCGGCAGAAUAACUGAUAUUUAUCGAGAGACAACGAAGCGGACGUUACUCGCAGUACAGAGUUUUGCUAUUGAUUUCAAGAAAAAUACACUUAUCUCCAAAAUGCCCG